rnacentral:sRNA from 1 species
UUUUUUUUUUUUUUUUUUUUUUUUGACGCUAUAUCUUGNAUCUAUUGCUACGUUCAUUCAUUGAUCCAACAGCAUGGGUAUAGAAAAACGAUAAGCAGGAGUUGCGCAAACGAAGUUAUGGAGUUUCUUGCAUGCAUGCAUGUUUUGGCAUAAAGCUGGUACUUCGAAAUAUGCCUAUGAAAUCUCUACCUGCUUUGCACCCUAAAUAUAACGUGUCGUCUUGUAGCUGCAUGNGAAUUACAACGAUUGAUAGAUGAAAAACAAAUCGACUUGUUGUCCAUUUCAUCGUUUCAAACGACUGGUAGNGUUGCUUGNGUCCAUAUCCAUACUAUGUCCGGGGGUUUUGCUUUAUUACACUUGGUCAAAGAAAUCUAUAUGAUGUUCUUUACGAAACCCACAAAGUCAUUAGGGAUAUCAUCCGAACAGAAGGGUAUAUAUGCAAAAUACACUGCAAGGACUAAGCCCAAGCACCGUAUUGUUUCAGUCUCGAAGUAAUUCUAUGUACCCGUGCAUUGGACAUGGUGCGAUUGGACUUGAGUGAGCUGACAGCACUGUAUGAGGGUCUGUUUGCCAAGAUUCAGGACUUGUUGAAAGAGUUAUGUUUUGAUACANAUGUGGAAAAAACCAUUAUCCAUUUCGUUGGCUAAAAANCGAUUGGGGACCGACNNANAUUAUCAAUAGCCAAACUGGGNUAUUUCAUUCNUUUAANGGAUUGNAUGGGAGANACCNUUUUUUCCNAAAAAGGGGNNUNNUNACCAAANANCNAGGGGUAUAAAAAAACNAGGGGNAACCUUUUNUCNUUUUGGGNUUUUUUNUUC